rnacentral:rRNA from 1 species
UUAGAGGCAAACGGGUGGAACCGCAGUGUCGACUCUUGGAAUUCAACCUGCCGUAGCACGGGACGAUGCUGGGAUAAUUGCGGAGCUUCCAAAGCCCGUUUCUCGGCGUCGGUCUCCGGUCGGUCUGGUGCACUUUCUUCGAGUCGAGAGCCACGACCGGCUCUUUGGCGGCCAGAAGCCUGGCUGGGAAGGUGACCUCCGGCCUCGGCUGGCGGAGUUUAUAGCCCAGCUUGCGUUGGCUCGUCGGAGGGCCGAGGAAAAGCUUUGCCGCGACUCGUCGCUCUCGGACCAUCUGCGCUCGUCACGACUGGGGUGGACUGCUUGCCAGUGCUCUCCCGACCGCGAGCGUGGAAGGGUUCGUUCGGCGUGAGUUGCUUCGGGCCUGUGGCGAAUCGGUCGGUCACCCACCCGACCCGUCUUGAA